AGCAAAAAUUAAAAAAAAACCAUUAAGAAGAAACAAAACUGCAUUUUGCACUUAUUAAAGUGAUCAGUCUGCAUUUGACUAUUUUGAAGUUUUCUUUAACUACACGUCAAUCAGCAGUUGGCAUCGAAUUGGGUCCUAUAAUUGGGUCCUAAAAUGAAGCUUAGAUUGCUGAUAUUAUUGUUUACAACGAUAAAGCUUAUUUUUUUGAGUACAAUAACCCUUUUGUACGACCACAAAGAGUUUAAAAUGGAUUUUUAAAUCAAUUUUGAAAAAUUAACCUCGCGGUCCUUCUUGACAGAAAAGGUCCUACUUGACAGCUCGUUCCAAGGGGACCAUAGUUGAUCCAUCGAAAAAAUGUUGUCUUGUCAAUAACUUUUUUUGCAUAAAAAUGAAAAAAGUGAUCAGAAAUGGUUUUUAAUCGUGUUUUUUACCGUUGUACUUUAAAAUUUACAUAGGGCUUUAGUACCCAAUUAAGCUUAAAUUGCUGAUAUUAUUGUUAAUAAGGAUAAAGUUUAUUUUUAUCAUUUGAAUGACAUUUUGAAAGAUGACAUUAUACCCUAUGUGAUUUAAGUGGAGCACCGGAUUCGAGUGGCAGAAAUGACUGUUCUCCCAUAAGGAAUACAUUGUAAAAAACAAAAAACUUUUCGAAUGGAAGUGUUCCAUAAGUAAUUUUUUUUUGAUUUUUGGGUGGUUGAUAGUGCCUUGAGUCAGGGGUUUUUAAAUACACCCGAGAAGCAAAAUAAAUUAAAUUUUGUUUAUUAGAUCUUAAAAAAGACUUUUGUUGUUUUAUAAUUUGUGCGUUUAUUUAUGACGAAAACCUGUUAGUUCACAACUUUUUUAUCAAGUCAAGGAAAGUUGCUUUGACUUUUAGCGUUGAUUAAAAAAAUUCAUGGUUUUCAAAUGAAGAAAACGUUUUGUUGAUUCAAAUAUGCCUUAAUUUUCUGCGUGAACGAACUUUUGGACCAUAUUCAGCGUGUUAGGUUUUAUACCAUUUUCAAUAAGGUAAUAUUGUUUAACAGUGUAAGAUUUUAGCCGAUUUAAGCUCAAACCCUCGCAUCGUGUAUAUAUUUAUGUAUUUGUUUUGAUUUUGUUCGCCUGCUGCGAUCGCGCAAUUUUUUCGUCUUUCAACAACAAAAUAGUUUGCCUGAAGUGAGCCACGUCUUUUUAGUUGCCAGCAAGAUAAUUUCAUGCCGGAUGUCGUCAUCGGAUGCAGAUGCUGGUUAGCAGGAGAACCGGCUUUCACCUCGUCGGAAUUAUUGCCGUAGCUGGUGCUGUCGUUAUUGUUAGCUGAAUUCAAUUUCUAGGAUUUGAAGCACCACGCGCUGUUCGGCUGGAGCCCUAAUUCCAUCUGUUUUAUCGCACGCCACGGGCCAUUCUGACCAGGCCUUGAGCCGCAACCAGCGAGAGUCCUAAGCUUAGCUUCAAGUACCGAAGCUGAAAUGGCAGCCGGAAGAAAAUACCAUGAAACGAGGAUUUCCGCUAGUAAUAACCUGGAUUGGGAAAUUGCCGUUGGUGCGAGGGAAAUGUUAUUGUUGCAGUUCUCUUGUGGGUUACGUUCGCUGUAUUUCCCGGCAGUGUGUCCAGGAAUAGCACCGCCAAUUUGUCGCAAAUAGUAAACGCCGCAAGCCAGAGUUUUUGUUCGACGGUUCUGCGCCUUCACCGUUGGUGACUAAAAUUGUUUGCUGCCAAGACCAACCGAAUGCAGCAGAAUCGACAAACAGCCAAGAAAAGACAUCAAACAAACGGGACCUUCGACUGUGACCUGCAGCCUGCACGAAGCUGUAGCAGUUUAUCAGUUCGAUAGCAAAGCGGACUUCAUCUUGGUGACCACGAGCGAGUGCGUGAUUCCCGAGAUGAUCAACGCGAGCGGUAGGUUCGCGUGAGGAUGUUUUCAAGCAAGCAUAAUUGACCAUACAGGUGAGCUCCCAAAAUGUAGGCAACUUCCUCUGGUCAGCGACAAGAUCACCGUCAAGCUGAUCUUCGCUCAUUUUCACUCGGUCAGUCGAUGACGUAUUAAGUCAAAAUGUUCAGCAUUUUUGUAUUACCCAAUCUCACCCCAGACCUAAUGUCACCCCUGAUGACGGUAUACAAAACCUAUUCACAAUUGACUCUAUAAAUAUAUUAAAUAGGAAAGGUUUCGCGCUGUUUCCGCAAAUUUGCAGUUACCAACUAGAUUUCGAGUGGAAACAUUCGCUGAACCAGCGGAUUUUUCGCCGAAACCAGUAGAAUAAUCUCCUGGUUGGUUUUGGUACGAGCUGCUGCCGCCGGAAAAAAAAACCCGGACGUCAGCGAUAGAAAACGCUGAUCCAGCGUAAAAGAACACCAGUUCAGUGAAAAAAUCCGCUGGACCAGCGAAUUGUUUCCCAAAACCAGCACAAUAAUCUACUGGUUGAUUUUGGUACGAGCUGCUGCCGCCGGAAAAAAAACCCGGACGUCAGCGAUAUAAAACGCUGAUCCAGCGUAAAAGAACACUGGUCCAGUGAAGAAAUCCGCUGGACCAGCGAAUUGUUUCCCAAAACCAGUACAAUAAUCUCCUGGUUGAUUUUGGUGCCCUGCCGCUUUUUCCAAACCAGCGAGAAAAUUUUCUGAUUCUAGCAAAACUGAUCCCCCAAACAGCGACAUUUUUUACCAAACCAGUGUUUUUUUUUCACUGGUUUGGUAGAAUUUCAUCGGUUUCCAAACCAGCGAAAAAAAUUAGCGAUUCUAGGUCAUUUUUGUGCAGGCUGAGAAAUUAGCGACAUUUUUCGCUAGUUUUAGCGAACUUUAUCGCGAUUUGGCGAUGGAUCCCCUUUCCGUGAAAUAAAGACAGCUAUUAAAGCAAAAAAAUAAUUGCAUGACGUUUUGGGUGACUUCGGUUGAAACAGGUACAGAACAAAACAAUUUGUACUUCCAAAUGUAUUGCUCUAAAAUCUCCUGUACCUAUUUAGACUGUAAUUCUGGACUGGUAUCUUAUUAUUUAUUGUCGUUUUUUUGUUUUUCAGAUACAAAAUAAAUUUUUUAAGCUGUUUUAGUCAUGUCAUAUGAAAAUAUAUAUAAAAGAAAAAAAAUAUAAAAGAAUUCCAGAGUUUUUUUGAAUAGGUCCUAUAAACAUAUGGAAGACAAAAGCUUAUUGGACCUUUUAAAAAAAAAACUCAAGAAUUAUGUAAUUUGAUUCGCAAAUCAAAAAAAAAAUCAUCAUACUGGAAUUAAAAAUAGUAGUUGAUAUAAAAUCCUAAACACCACAAAGACAAAAAAAAAUCUUUUAGGCUAUUUUAAAACUGUCGUCUUUGUUUAGAUUGAAGUGAGGAUUAUAACCAUUUGAUAUUAUUAAGCUAAUUCUAUGAUUUUAAGCUUGAAAACAUAACAAAAAUAUAAUGAAACAUAAAUUUUAUUACUGAUUAACAAAUUUCCCGGGAUCCCGGGAAUUCCCGGGAUUCCAAAAAUAUUUUUCCCGUUUCCCGGGAAAAUUGGACGCCCUAGACUGCAAAACCAGACGAAGGUGGGGAAUAAACUUUUUCUUGGUUUUUUUGCAUUCUAGAUUGCUGCAACCCUUGCCAGCUGCGACCUCUAGCUGCGAUGUCUAGUGUGAGCAGCUCGAUUACGCCAGGCAGUGCACCCACUGUUGCGCUCCGAUUCAAAUGUUACAGCCAAGGGUCUGCCAACAUCGUUUGGCAACUUCUCUUCAUCAUCGAAGAUGCCAACGGCCGGUAACACCAUGUCAACGCAGUCCUCGCCAGGUCCAACCACGAUGAGCCUCCAAUGCCAACAUCACUGCUUCAAGCGUUCAGUAAGCAAGCUACUUUCGCCCCCGGUGUCGAUGACCGCGGUGGCUCAACCUUCACACCAACUUAACCGGCUCUGAUCAGAUCAGACUGCUAAAAACCGCGCUCACUUCUUCCGCGGCAGUGAUAAUAUCAACCAGCUGCGCCGGUCCAACCGACAGCGGAAUACCAACUACAAUCGCUUCUUUCUCUUUAGCGGCAACAGCCAAGCUAUCACCAACAAGCUGCAGUACAAGAUCAACAACAACCUUCAGGCACAUUCAUACCCGCUGUUUAACGGCGUGGCACCCAGAAUCAUCACCGUGGUCACCUUGUUACCGGUGUGGUUGGUGGAGGGCAGAACAACCACUAUCAGCCAUCGCAAGUCCGAGACGCGGACGAAAGAGGUCGGGUUCACGAACACAUACCCGACGGAUCACAUGGCGUUGCUGGAGCAUUUUUGAUCGACGAACGAACCGCUGCAGGUAGGAUGAAUUAGAUGUUAGGUUUAGAUUCAUGAGUUGAACGUUUGUUUUUUUCUCCUCUCAGGGGGAUGCCUUGAAGGAAUCAGGUUACCGAGGAAAUGCCGAAUCAUCGCCGAUCAGCUCCAAAGCAUCAAGCAACCCGACGACAACACCUUCCGGAAGUUCGCAUACCAGUCUGCAGCAGCAGCAGCAACAACAAUAACAGCAGUCUUCUCUCGCAUCCAAUGGGGGAGUCAACAGCCUAGCGGGCUCGACGUAUGCAACACCUCGUCCCAGAUUCGAUCAAUUAGAUAAAACAACUCUGAAGACUAUGAUAGUAUGAUGAACUCGCACAAUCAUCACCACCGAAGAUGGGAAGUUCGCGGCGCCACCACCGUCAAUGUUCGACGCGUUGGCAUCUCGAAAUCAGCACGUAUUCAGCUUUGGUUCUGAUCUGCUUCAGUCGUCCUACCAAAGUCACAUGCGGAACAUGCGGAAGUGGCCGCGGGAGACAAUUUGAUUGACCCUGGCGAUUCCACCAUCGCAGAACCAUCAAUUGGCAGCGUCGAGAAGCAAGCUAUCCUCGUCGAACCAGUUCAGUAUCAUCCCGGACCGAUCGGAAAGUACCAGAAUCUACUGAGCGAACUUUCGCUGGGCAGUACCAACGCUGGCGCCGAGUUGACCUGGAGGACGCGGGAUCUUCGUCAGUUGCUACAGCAGAUGCCCGUAAUUCAUUCCGGGGAGGAGUUGGGCGUGAUUGGAAGAGGAUUGGAUGGCUUGGCGGAACCGAAGACUCCGGAGAAGCUUUUUCAUGUUGAUCGAAAGGAUUUUUGGAGAUACGACGCGGCUGGUGAUCUCCACGUCGCACCAGGAUUCGAGUACGAGUUGAAGAGGGGCCCGGAUGGCGUAGAUCGGCCACGCUACCAGCACCACCACCGGAACCACCCCGGGUGACCGCGUCAAUCCUAAUCAACAGUACAAAUUGCUCCUCUUUAAUCGCUCGACUGUUCUUUCAGCAGACAGGCAGCUCGUCUUCCGCGAAAAAAGGAGAGCGGCGGAAUUAACAAGGUCAACUUAAUUAUCUUCCAGAAAAUCCCCUGUAUGGACAAACUCGAUGAAAAGUCCCGAAAGAAGCCACCGUUGAACAACCCGCUGAUUGUGGUUCCAAGCGGGAA